CCUACGGGUGACUGCAGUGGGGAAUAUUGGGCAAUGGGCGCAAGCCUGACCCAGCAACGCCGCGUGCAGGAAGAAGGCUUUCGGGUUGUAAACUUCUUUUCUCAGGGACGAAGAAAGUGACGGUACCUGCGGAAUAAGCCACGGCUAACUACGUGCCAGCAGCCUGGGUAAUACGUAGGGGGCAAGCGUUAUCCGGCUUGACUUGGUGUAAGGGGCGUGUAGGGGGGGAAGCAAGUCAGAUGUGAAAACCACGGGCUCAACCUGUGGCCUGCAUUUGAAACUGUUUUUCUUGGGUACUGGAGAGGCAGACGGAAUUCCUAGUGUAGCGGUGAAAUGCGUAGAUAUUAGGAGGAACACCAGUGGCGAAGGCGGUCUGCUGGACAGCAACUGACGCUGAGGCGCGAAAGCGUGGGGAGCAAACAGGAUUAGAUACCCGGGUAGUC
rnacentral:rRNA from 1 species